rnacentral:tRNA from 1 species
GAGAGAGGCCUGCGCAAUAAGAACUGCUAAUUCUUACUACCAUAGUUAAAAUCUAUGGCUCACUCG